rnacentral:rRNA from 1 species
UCGAGGAUCUUCGUCAAUGGGCGCAAGCCUGAACGAGCGAUGCCGCGUGAGCGAUGAAGGCCUUCGGGUUGUAAAGCUCAAAAGAAGUGAGAAAGGGAAACUUGAUCAAACUUCAGUAAGCUCGGGCUAAGUUCGUGCCAGCAGCCGCGGUAAGACGAACCGAGCGAACGUUGUUCGGAAUCACUGGGCUUAAAGGGCGCGUAGGCGGGUAUUCAAGUCCGUGGUGAAAUCCUCCGGCUCAACCGGAGAACUGCCUCGGAUACUGGAUGUCUCGAGGGUGGCAGGGGUAUGCGGAACUAUCGGUGGAGCGGUGAAAUGCGUUGAUAUCGAUAGGAACUCCGGUGGCGAAGGCGGCAUACUGGUCCACUUCUGACGCUGAGGCGCGAAAGCCAGGGGAGCAAACGGGAUUAGAUACCCCCGUAGUCC